rnacentral:rRNA from 1 species
GAUGAACGCUGGCGGCGUGCCUAAUACAUGCAAGUCGAGCGAACAGACGAGGAGCUUGCUCCUCUGACGUUAGCGGCGGACGGGUGAGUAACACGUGGAUAACCUACCUAUAAGACUGGGAUAACUUCGGGAAACCGGAGCUAAUACUGGAUAAUAUCUUGAACCGCAUGGUUCAAUAGUGAAAGAUGGUUUUGCUGUCACUUAUAGAUGGAUCCGCGCCGCAUUAGCUAGUUGGUAAGGUAACGGCUUACCAAGGCAACGAUGCGUAGCCGACCUGAGAGGGUGAUCGGCCACACUGGAACUGAGACACGGUCCAGACUCCUACGGGAGGCAGCAGUAGGGAAUCUUCCGCAAUGGGCGAAAGCCUGACGGAGCAACGCCGCGUGAGUGAUGAAGGUCUUCGGAUCGUAAAACUCUGUUAUUAGGGAAGAACAAAUGUGUAAGUAACUAUGCACGUCUUGACGGUACCUAAUCAGAAAGCCACGGCUAACUACGUG